rnacentral:rRNA from 1 species
AGAGUUUGAUCCUGGCUCAGGAUGAACGCCGGCGGUGUGCCUAAUACAUGCAAGUCGUACGCACUGGCCCAACUGAUUGAUGGUGCUUGCACCUGAUUGACGAUGGAUCACCAGUGAGUGGCGGACGGGUGAGUAACACGUAGGUAACCUGCCUCGGAGCGGGGGAUAACAUUUGGAAACAGAUGCUAAUACCGCAUAACAACAAAAGCCACAUGGCUUUUGUUUGAAAGAUGGCUUUGGCUAUCACUCUGGGAUGGACCUGCGGUGCAUUAGCUAGUUGGUAAGGUAACGGCCUACCAAGGCAAUGAUGCAUAGCCGAGUUGAGAGACUGAUCGGCCACAAUGGAACUGAGACACGGUCCAUACUCCUACGGGAGGCAGCAGUAGGGAAUCUUCCACAAUGGGCGCAAGCCUGAUGGAGCAACACCGCGUGAGUGAAGAAGGGUUUCGGCUCGUAAAGCUCUGUUGUUGGAGAAGAACGUGCGUGAGAGUAACUGUUCACGCAGUGACGGUAUCCAACCAGAAAGUCACGGCUAACUACGUGCCAGCAGCCGCGGUAAUACGUAGGUGGCAAGCGUUAUCCGGAUUUAUUGGGCGUAAAGCGAGCGCAGGCGGUUGCUUAGAUCUGAUGUGAAAGCCUUCGGCUUAACCGAAGAAGUGCAUCGGAAACCGGGCGACUUGAGUGCAGAAGAGGACAGUGGAACUCCAUGUGUAGCGGUGGAAUGCGUAGAUAUAUGGAAGAACACCAGUGGCGAAGGCGGCUGUCUGGUCUGCAACUGACGCUGAGGCUCGAAAGCAUGGGUAGCGAACAGGAUUAGAUACCCUGGUAGUCCAUGCCGUAAACGAUGAGUGCUAGGUGUUGGAGGGUUUCCGCCCUUCAGUGCCGGAGCUAACGCAUUAAGCACUCCGCCUGGGGAGUACGACCGCAAGGUUGAAACUCAAAGGAAUUGACGGGGGCCCGCACAAGCGGUGGAGCAUGUGGUUUAAUUCGAAGCUACGCGAAGAACCUUACCAGGUCUUGACAUCUUGCGCUAACCUUAGAGAUAAGGCGUUCCCUUCGGGGACGCAAUGACAGGUGGUGCAUGGUCGUCGUCAGCUCGUGUCGUGAGAUGUUGGGUUAAGUCCCGCAACGAGCGCAACCCUUGUUACUAGUUGCCAGCAUUAAGUUGGGCACUCUAGUGAGACUGCCGGUGACAAACCGGAGGAAGGUGGGGACGACGUCAGAUCAUCAUGCCCCUUAUGACCUGGGCUACACACGUGCUACAAUGGACGGUACAACGAGUCGCAAGCUCGCGAGAGUAAGCUAAUCUCUUAAAGCCGUUCUCAGUUCGGACUGUAGGCUGCAACUCGCCUACACGAAGUCGGAAUCGCUAGUAAUCGCGGAUCAGCAUGCCGCGGUGAAUACGUUCCCGGGCCUUGCACACACCGCCCGUCA